AACGCACAUUGCGCCCUUUGGUAUUCCGAAGGGCAUGCCUGUUCGAGCGUCAUUAUAACCACUCACGCCCUCGCGUGGUCUUGGGGCACGCGGUCUCGCGGCCCCUAAAACCAGUGGCGGUGCCUGUCGGCUCUACGCGUAGUAAUACUCCUCGCGAUUGAGUCCGGCGGGUGGCUUGCCAGCAACCCCCCAUUUUUUCAGGUUGACCUCGGAUCAGGUAGGGAUACCCGCUUAACUUAA
rnacentral:misc_RNA from 1 species